UCGGCUGGUGCGAUAGAAGCCUGGGGCCAUGAGGCACCAUCUUUGCCAGCAGGUGGAGAGUGUCCACCUGAGAGUGAAGCCAACAGAAAGCAAACCAGGGCUGAGAGAUGGAGACAGAUCCCGGACAACACUGCCUGAGCCCCUGGAUCCAGCCGUGCCUGAAGCUGUAGCGCUCCUGACUUUCCAGCGACACAAAACAAUACGUUCUGCUUUGGCAUAAGCUAAUUCCAGCGGGAUUCUGUUAUUUGCAGUUGGAUGAGCUCUGCCUGAAGGACGAGGCUUUAAACAACCAGGGCCUGUUGAUUCUCCAGGGGCCCACGGCAAACACAGCCCUUCAGAACACAAAAACACAGCUGCUCUUUGAAAGAGGCGGAGAGAGGGGAAAAUACUUUGCAUUCUCUUGCGAUGAAUCAGGAGCCAAAAUAAGACCUGGUUCAUUUCUCAAGCGGGUUAUCCUGCCCAACCGCUAUUACUCAUCCCAGCCCCGACCAGCCCGAGGUUGGCGUGGCCCUGGCCCAGGGAGCCUGCCGUGCUCAGAGCCUCCCCAGAUUUUCCACGCUCGUGUGAAAAGCGUGUGCGUCGUGGCUCCUUCUCCUCCGGCUCAUCCUCCUGGGAGCUGGGCUGUCUGGAGCUCCAGGGUCCAGCCAAGUCAACCCCUAACAAAACGCAGGGAUGCACAGGGAGCCUCUGGAAACCUCGCCCCUGCAGAGAGGUCCAGAGAAGCUGGCCUGGCCGCUUCUUACUGAGCAGCGGGCUAGCACAGGACCUCAGCAUCAAGGAGGGGUCAGCCGGGGAUAGAUGAGGAAAGGCUUCAAAGGUUGGGCCGAGGAGCUACAAGGAAAUUACAAUGACACUCAUGACUCACAUAAAUUAUCUUUCUGCUGGGGGAGACUGGCGUCAAGGAAGUGCCCGCUGUGAACAUUCUCAGAAGGUUACCCAGACGCGUGCGUUCUCCUUGUGCUUCUAAAAUUGCUCCUGUCCCGUCAGUGGCCGGCCCGGCGGGGAUGCGCCAGGCAGGGCGUAAUUGCUGCCCUCUGCUCACCUCCGGAGGCACACGCUGUUCCCAUUUUUCUUGCGAUCAGUACCUCUGAGACACACACUUUCGAACUAGCGCUGGAGAUAUCUGGAAAUAAAGUCAAAUCUUUGUAUAUGAUGAAAAUAUUUUGGAAAAGAAAUAUCCAGUCUUAAAUCAACAGAAAUAAAAUCUAGGUACAUCUUGAAUAAACAAAACAAAAUGUAAUUUUGGAAGGGGUGCCUAGGCUGGGCCAGGCUCCCCAGGGGAUCGG
rnacentral:lncRNA from 1 species